rnacentral:misc_RNA from 1 species
GAUGAAGAACGUAGCGAAAUGCGAUAAGUAAUGUGAAUUGCAGAAUUCAGUGAAUCAUCGAAGCUUUGAACGCACAUUGCGCCCGCCAGUAUUCUGGCGGGCAUGCCUGUUCGAGCGUCAUUUCAACCAUCAAGCCCCAGGCUUGUGUUGGGGACCUGCGGCUGCCGCAGGCCCUGAAAACCAGUGGCGGGCUCGCUGUCACACCGGGCGUAGUAGAUUUUAUCUCGCUCAGGGCGUGCUGCGGGUUCCGGCCGUUAAAAAGCCUUUUUUACCCAAGGUUGACCUCGGAUCAGGUAGGAAGACCCGCUGAACUUAAGCAUAUCAAUAAGCGGAGGA